rnacentral:rRNA from 1 species
AGAUUGAACGCUGGCGGCAUGCCUUACACAUGCAAGUCGAACGGCAGCACGGGAGCAAUCCUGGUGGCGAGUGGCGAACGGGUGAGUAAUAUAUCGGAACGUGCCCAGUCGUGGGGGAUAACGCAGUGAAAGCUGUGCUAAUACCGCAUACGAUCUAUGGAUGAAAGCGGGGGACUCGCAAGAGCCUCGCGCGAUUGGAGCGGCCGAUAUCAGAUUAGCUAGUUGGUGGGUAAAGCCACCAAGGCGACGAUCUGUAGCUGGUCUGAGAGGACGACCAGCCACACUGGAACUGAGACACGGUCCAGACUCCUACGGGAGGCAGCAGUGGGGAAUUUGGACAAUGGGCGCAAGCCUGAUCCAGCAAUGCCGCGUGCAGGAUGAAGGCCUUGGUGUAACUGCUUUGUACGGAACGAAAAGUCCUACUCUAAUACAAGGGCCCAUGACGUACGUAAGAAUAAGCACGGCUAACUACG